rnacentral:rRNA from 1 species
UACGGAGGGUGCAAGCGUUAUCCGGAUUCACUGGGUUUAAAGGGUGCGUAGGUGGAUUAGUAAGUCAGUGGUGAAAUCUCCGAGCUUAACUCGGAAACUGCCAUUGAUACUAUUAGUCUUGAAUUAUCUGGAGGUGAGCGGAAUAUGUCAUGUAGCGGUGAAAUGCUUAGAUAUGACAUAGAACACCAAUUGCGAAGGCAGCUCACUACGGAUAUAUUGACACUGAGGCACGAAAGCGUGGGGAUCAAACCAGGAUU